rnacentral:rRNA from 1 species
UACGGAGGUGGCAAGCGUUGCUCGGAAUCACUGGGCGUAAAGGGCGCGUAGGCGGCGCAACAAGUCACUUGUGAAAUCUCCGGGCUUAACUCGGAACGGUCAAGUGAUACUGUUGUGCUAGAGUGCGGAAGGGGCAACUGGAAUUCUCGGUGUAGCGGUGAAAUGCGUAGAUAUCGGGAGGAACACCUAUGGCGAAGGCAGCUCGCUGGGACGUUACUGACGCUGAGACGCGAAAGCGUGGGGAGCAAACAGG